rnacentral:misc_RNA from 1 species
CAUUAAUGAGGGCGUGUGGGCUAAUAUCCCCGCGAACCCUAAUCCUUUGUUUACUGCCUCAUUGUGGUUUUUUUUUUUUUUUUUUUUAAAAAAAAAAAAAAACAUACAUUAACAAAAAUCCUUAAAUAACACAAUUAAUGUCUGAAGUAAAUUAUUUUAAACAAGCAAAACUUUCAACAACGGAUCUCUUGGUUCCGGCAUCGAUGAAGAACGCAGCGAAAUGCGAUAAGUAAUGUGGACCGCAGUACUCAGCGACUCAUCGAAUCUUUGAACGCACAUUGCGCCCCUUGGUAUCACCAAAGGGCACACCUGUUCGAGCGUCAUCAUACAUCGAAUCAGGCCUGGGCGCCCGGGCUUGCAAUUGGGCUUUGUCUGCUUUAUGUAGAAGUCUAAAAGUCAGUGACGGUUAAGUUAGACAUUCCAGCGUAGUGAUUAUAUUAGCUGUUGAAAUGCCUCGUACAUAACAGUCAGGGUUUCUGCUGGCGGAGACCCCAUUAGAUUUUAUCAAAUCAU